rnacentral:rRNA from 1 species
UACGUAGGGGGCAAGCGUUGUCCGGAAUUAUUGGGCGUAAAGAGCGCGUAGGCGGUCCGAUAAGUCGGCUGUGAAAGUCAGGGGCUCAACCCUUGAAAGCCGGCCGAUACUGUCGGACUAGAGUCCGGAAGAGGCAAGUGGAAUUCCCGGUGUAGCGGUGAAAUGCGCAGAUAUCAGGAGGAACACCAAUAGCGAAGGCAGCUCGCUGGGACGGUACUGACGCUAAGGCGCGAAAGCGUGGGGAGCGAACAGG